ACGUACACUCCUGCGGGAGGCAGCAGUGGGGAAUUUUGGACAAUGGGCGAAAGCCUGAUCCAGCCAUGCCGCGUGCAGGAUGAAGGCCUUCGGGUUGUAAACUGCUUUUGUACGGAACGAAACGGCCUUUUCUAAUAAAGAGGGCUAAUGACGGUACCGUAAGAAUAAGCACCGGCUAACUACGUGCCAGCAGCCGCGGUAAUACGUAGGGUGCAAGCGUUAAUCGGAAUUACUGGGCGUAAAGCGUGCGCAGGCGGUUAUGUAAGACAGUUGUGAAAUCCCCGGGCUCAACCUGGGAACUGCAUCUGUGACUGCAUAGCUAGAGUACGGUAGAGGGGGAUGGAAUUCCGCGUGUAGCAGUGAAAUGCGUAGAUAUGCGGAGGAACACCGAUGGCGAAGGCAAUCCCCUGGACCUGUACUGACGCUCAUGCGCGAAAGCGUGGGGAGCAAACAGGAUUAGAUACCCGUGUAGUCCC
rnacentral:rRNA from 1 species